AUGCAGUUUCUUAUGUCUUAUCUUGGCCCUCUCUACUACUUUCUUGGAACUGAGGUCCCUUCUUGCUCAAAAAUAAUAAUCCAGGAUCUUCUUACUCGUGUUGCUCUUACUGAUGAGCGCACUGUUGAGGCUCCCAUGGAGCUCAAUGUUCACCUCCCUACUACUGAUGUUGAUCCAUUGUCUAAUCUAACGCUUUAUCAACAUUUUGUUGGGAGUCUUGUCUAUCUGACUGACACUCGCCCGGUAGAAGAAACAAACUGCAGUGCCCCCCGUUCGAGUGCACCUCUUCCCGCGGCGCCGUCGCUCCACUUUCCUACUCUACCUUCCACUAUAUGCUCUGCGGCAUUGUCGUCGUGGCCAGGAUGGUGGCAAAAUCACUAG
rnacentral:rRNA from 1 species